GGCACCGACCCUUUACCGGGUUUUGAAUGCUGAACGGGGCCAAGAGUGGGUUACGGACUGGGAGCUGCAGGGCGUCCCGCUGGGAAGUUGCAUUGUCCUGGGCCCCUUUUUCACAACAGGGGAAAAGCAUUAAAGCUUCGAACAUGUGAUACGUGACUGGAUGGAGUUCCUGGAGAGCUGUAUUAACAUGUUUCAGAGUUGAAUUCUGAGGUUAGUGCCGUGUCAGAAAACAGGGUCCCUCAAGAAUGUGCAUAGUAAUUAUUUGUAUAGUUCAUAGCUAUUGUAGCAUAUCCUUCGUAAGUGAAUGAUAAAUAUUGUAUUUAAAACAACAUAAGAGCCUCAAUUCUGUAGAGGACUACGUUGCAGCCUUUUGUUGUGCUCUGAGAUGCUCAGGAAUUGAUGUGUUAAGCGGACUUUGAACCUUCUGGUGUCCUCCGGCAGCCUCAGAACUCCUCCCCUUGGCCCUGUGGACUCUGGCCACAGUAGGGGCGAGAUAGCGAGUAUAGACUGAAAGUGCUCUGUGCAGACUUGCCUUCUGGCCUCCUGUUCAGCUGCCAGUCUCACAGCUUGCCCUGAGAAUGGACUUCCUGUGCUGUCAUUUACACUCAGUAUCACACUAAGCACUCUUUGUCACUCAGCCUUUGAGACAGAAGGGGGUGAGAUAACCAAUCUAGACUGCUGGUGUUGACUUUGUGGAUAAAGUAAAGGGCUAGCGUCAAGAACCCUGGGUCUUAUCCUCACUUCGCAACUGCCUUUCCUAUGACAUUGAGCCAGGCUUUUGACCUCCCCAUUCCUCAAUUUUCCCCUUCUAUCAAAUGAGUAUGUGGUGUUGUCUCAUGUUAUCAGGAAGGCGUGGUUAUUGAAAAAUGUUCUAAAUACUUGAAGCCCCCUAGCCAAAGGAAAAAAAAAUCAGAUAAAAUGAUGUCCUGUUUCUGCCUUUUGGGGGGGCGAUAGAAAGGAAACCACAGCUGGUUCGUUAUUCCCCACUCCCAGAAAUAAUUUGUUCUGUCAUCCAGUAGGUAGGGCAUUUUCCCUCCUACUCUUGUCAGUUUUUUUCCUCAUCUUUGUCUUUGGCUCUUUUCUUCUCUCUCCCUCCCUCUCUCUUUCUGUCUGUCUCCUCCCUUCCCUCUGCCCCUGCAAUGGCGACAUGCUGUGAGAUCAAGGUGCAUAGAAAAUAGAAAAGGUGAAGAAUAUCUCUGAAAGGCUUUGUCCAACGUGGGUGAGCAAGGACACUGAGAAAACAAGAAGGGUGUUUUGAGUUGACUCAAUGGGCAGUGAGAGUAAGGCUGUGGAAGCUUUUGCAAAUAUAUCGGGCUUAAAAAGGUAAACUUUCAGACACGGUAACCUGCUGGCAAGAUGGGUCUCUGGUGCCUGGGACCGCUUAUUUAGAGGAUCUCUUUGGGAAGGGAUGGAGUUGGAAGAGGGUUGGAUCCUAUAGUAAAUUUCUCGGGGGUUGGGGGUGGGAUGGGAAAUAGGAUGGAAGGCCUCUCCUGGCCAAAACCAUGGCCACAUCCUUUUUCUUUUUCACUUAAAUUAUGCAACUGAAUAGAGCAUAGCUUUGAGUGGAAAGGGAUUUCAUCCCUUACUUCAGCUAGAGUAUAUGAAAUAUUGUGAAUUUUAAAGAGUGCAUUUUAAUACAUUUCACUUUUUGAAAACCUGUAGUAGUUGAGUUUUUUUGCUAUUAUUUUCAUUUUGUUUUGGGAAGAGAUUGGUAAUAUAAAUUACAAACCAGGUAUUAAUUCACUUAGUAUUCCUCGGGCAUUUUAGGAGGGGUGUUGUAUAUGCUAGUUUGCUUAUUUGAUUUUUCAGAUCCACACAUCCAUUCCUGUGUGUUUAGAUUUUUUUCCAUUCAAAAGGUGGCAAUAAAAGUUCCCAUUUUGGCUUAGCGGUAACA
ensembl:lncRNA